rnacentral:piRNA from 1 species
UCUCAACCCUGAGAAACAGUAGCCUACCUU